rnacentral:rRNA from 1 species
GAUGAACGCUGGCGGCGUGCUUAACACAUGCAAGUCGAACGAAGCAUUUAGAACGGAUUACUUCGGUUUGAAGUUCUUUAUGACUGAGUGGCGGACGGGUGAGUAACGCGUGGGUAACCUGCCUUGUACUGGGGGAUAGCAGCUGGAAACGGCUGGUAAUACCGCAUAAGCGCACGGUGCUGCAUGGCACAGUGUGAAAAACUCCGGUGGUAUAAGAUGGACCCGCGUCUGAUUAGCUAGUUGGUGAGAUAACAGCCCACCAAGGCGACGAUCAGUAGCCGACCUGAGAGGGUGACCGGCCACAUUGGGACUGAGACACGGCCCAAACUCCUACGGGAGGCAGCAGUGGGGAAUAUUGCACAAUGGGCGAAAGCCUGAUGCAGCGACGCCGCGUGAGCGAAGAAGUAUUUCGGUAUGUAAAGCUCUAUCAGCAGGGAAGAUAAUGACGGUACCUGACUAAGAAGCACCGGCUAAAUACGUGCCAG